rnacentral:rRNA from 1 species
CGUUUACCGUGAAAAAAUUAGAGUGUUCAAAGCAGGCAGAUCCAAUUUUCUGCCACCGAAUACAUUAGCAUGGGAUAAUGGAAUAGGACCCUGUCCUCCUAUUUUCAGUUGGUUUUGGCAGCGCGAGGACUAGGGUAAUGAUUAAUAGGGAUAGUUGGGGGCAUUAAUAUUUAAUUGUCAGAGGUGAAAUUCUUGGAUUUAUGAAAGAUUAACUUCUGCGAAAGCAUCUGCCAAGGAUGUUUUCAUUAAUCAAGAACGAAAGUUAGGGGAUCGAAGACGAUCAGAUACCGUCGUAGUCUUAACCAUAAACGAUGCCGACCAGCGAUUAGGAGACGUUGAAUACAAAACACCACCAUCGGUGCGGUCGUCCUUGGCGUCGGUCUUUCGGGGCCGGCGCGGGGACGGCUUAGCCCGGUGGCACCGGUGAAUGACUCCCUAGCACCUUGUGAGA